GUUCCAUACAAUAACCAUUUGCAGGCUAGCUUAGCCAGGAGCAAGCACAAGAAUGAAUGGGCAUAGCUGCGAUUUCUCCCUAGAGAAACUAAAUUGCAGGUUAGCCAGGAGCUAACGCAUGCAUGACAAAAAGACCAGAAGACUCUUACAAGACCAAGAGAUAGGGUUUGCAGGUUAGCCAGGAGCUAACACAUGCAUAUGCCAUGAAAACUGGAAUACACUACGAUACUUUGUCGGACGUGCGCUUGCAGGUUAGCGAGGCGCUAACGCGGUGCAUAUGUGCACUUCACGACCUUAUUUC
rnacentral:lncRNA from 1 species